rnacentral:rRNA from 1 species
GACGAACGCUGGCGGCGUGCCUAACACAUGCAAGUCGAACGGAGUUGCGAACGGGUGAGUAACGCGUAGGUAACUGCCUCCUAGCGGGGGAUAACCAUGGGAAACGAUAGCUAAUACCGCAUACUGUGAGAUGGACCUGCGUUGUAUUAGCUAGUUGGUGAGGUAAACGCUCACCAAGGCGACGAUACAUAGCCGGCCUUGGAGGGUGGACGGCCACACCUGGAACGGGACACGGCCCAAGAUCCUACGGGAGGGAAGCGUAGGGAAUCUUCGGCCAUGGACGGAAGUCUGACCGCGCACAGCCGGGGGAGGGAAGAAGGUUUUCGGGUCGUAAAGCUCUGUUGUUCGAGAAGCGGUAACUAACGAGAAAGCGACGGCUAACUUCGUGCCAGCAGCCGCGGUAAUAC